rnacentral:rRNA from 1 species
UAGGGAAUCUUCGGCAAUGGGGGCAACCCUGACCGAGCAACGCCGCGUGAGUGAAGAAGGUUUUCGGAUCGUAAAGCUCUGUUGUAAGAGAAGAACGUGUGUGAGAGUGGAAAGUUCACACAGUGACGGUAACUUACCAGAAAGGGACGGCUAACUACGUGCCAGCAGCCGCGGUAAUACGUAGGUCCCGAGCGUUGUCCGGUUUUAUUGGGCGUAAAGCGAGCGCAGGCGGUUUAAUAAGUCUGAAGUUAAAGGCAGUGGCUUAACCAUUGUUCGCUUUGGAAACUGUUAAACUUGAGUGCAGAAGGGGAGAGUGGAAUUCCAUGUGUAGCGGUGAAAUGCGUAGAUAUAUGGAGGAACACCGGUGGCGAAAGCGGCUCUCUGGUCUGUAACUGACGCUGAGGCUCGAAAGCGUGGGGAGCAAACAGG